rnacentral:lncRNA from 1 species
CACCACCUCGCGGGACGCUCGAGCGGAAGCGGAGACCCUCGAUGUUGCAGCGCCUCGCAAACGCUACGGCGCGUCCCCACCGCGUAAGGCAACUCCGCCGAUAGCGCCGAAAAUAACUCCAUCCCAAUUGCCGUGAGCCGCUGGGGACGAAGAGUGAUCAGCUCAUAGCGAGGAAAGAGAGAGAUUAAAAAAAAAGAUGAGGUGGUGGAGGAGGAGGAGGAGGCUCCUAAGCUGGCAAUAGACGGGCUGCGGAUCCAACAGCACGUGGGUUUCCGAGGCAAGGUAGCGGAGGCGGGCUGCUGAAAGAAGGAACAAACGAAGCACGUACCCAAAGGCUGAGAUCGGGAGCCGCGCCUGCUAAUGCUGUUACCACUGGGAUGCCUCGUAGAUCCGAUCCCGGUGACUUUUCAAAGAGGGGAGAUUUGCGGCUGCCCGCAGGAUCAGAAAGACGGGAUAGGACGACGCGCCCUUCCUGGAUAUAAGCCAGACCUCAAUCCAUCCCCCCAACCCUCUUCGCUGGGGGUGCGGAGAGCACUAAAGGAUCACCUUUAGCACCAGCUGGGCCGGAUGAAGUCAUAACAAACCGCUUCGCGGUAAAUCGAAAUCUAACGUGGUAUUGAUUGUCUACACGGAAGGCUGCCGUAUGAGGUCCACCCGAAGGGUGUUUCUGCGCGUAGUCAUUUUACAGAAAGGGAAACGUAAGCAGAUUUUGGCUGCCUCACAAGCUGCACCUGCGGAGAUUUCCUCUUCUGCACAGCUGUUAAGGAUAUUAGAUCCCUGACUAGAAUUUCCCAGGGCAACUCUAUCCACACUGCCUGUUGCAGAAGCUCCUUAAUAUUUCAUCCCUUUCCUGGAAAUGCCAAGGAUUCGAAUGUGGGAUCCUUCUGCCCCCAACCCACGUGCCUACUGCUUAGGGGCUUCUAUUGCCUCGCCGCAUGAAGUUUCUCAAAACAUGAAGAACAUUUUCAUCCUGCAGAAAACCGCAGAUCAAGUUGGGGUUUGAGAAGUUUUUAUUUUUCUGUAGCAUUUAUAGUGCACUUUUUCUCCAGAGAGAUCAAGGUGGGACACACAGUUCUCCUGCCCUCCUUUCUUCUCCCCAGCAACCCUGUGUGGUUGGCUAGGCUGAGAGGA